GUGCUCGCUUCAGCAGCACAUACACUAAAAUUGGAAACAUACAGAGAUUAGCGUGGCCCCUGUACAAGGAUGACCAGCAAAUUCAUGAAGUGUUCCAUACUUUU